UGCGGGGAGGUGUACCGUGUUUGCACAUCGGGCCCAUAACCCGAAGGUAGCGGGUUCGAUUCCCGCCCCCGCAA
rfam:Parcubacteria (Azambacteria) bacterium GW2011_GWB1_42_17 TV07_C0025, whole genome shotgun sequence.